GCCUCCGUAGCUCAGUUGGUAGAGCAGUUGACUCUUAAUCAAUUUGUCGUAGGUUCGAAUCCUACCGGGGGUACCA
rnacentral:tRNA from 4 species